CCUGGCUCAGAUUGAACGCUGGCGGCAUGCCUAACACAUGCAAGUCGAACGGCAGCAUAGUCUAGUUUACUAGAUGGGUGGCGAGUGGCGAACGGGUGAGUAAUGCGCAGGAAUAUGCCUUAAAGUGGGGGACAACUUGGGGAAACUCAAGCUAAUACCGCAUAAUCUCUGAGGAGAGAAGCUGGGGACUUUCGAGCCUGGCGCUUUAAGAUUAGCCU
rnacentral:rRNA from 1 species